AAAUCCCCUAUUCAUGGGAUGAACGCGUCGACUAGUCCAGUCAAUAAGUCAAACGACACACACUUGCAAUAUCUUUUAGCAAACAUGAUCUGUUGCACAUUCCUAGCAUUUGUCUUGAAUUUCCCAUCUGGGUAGGAAGACUUGGCUUCAAGAUUUUUUUCCAUUUCACAAGGCGUAACUAAUGAAGUAGAAAAAAGGCAUUUUCAAACGCGUAUCCAUCCCAUCCAUCCUCUCUAAAACUUGCAUUUUUAAA